rnacentral:rRNA from 1 species
AACCCAAUAGCUAGCCCAACCCCCUAAAAUAAACAAACCACCAUUAAUAACCCCACAUGCACCAGACAACUCAAAACAAACCAUUUUCCCCUCUUAGUAUGGGAGACAGAAAAGAGACCACGGCGCGAUAAGAAGUACCGCAAGGGAAAGCUGAAAGAGAAAUGAAACAACCCAGUCGAAGACUAACAAAGCAGAGACUAAGCCUCGUACCUUUUGCAUCAUGAUUUAGCUAGCAAAAUUUAAGCAAAGGAUACUCUAGUCUAAAACCCCGAAACUAAGUGAGCUACUCCAAGACAGCCUAUAAAAAGGGCACACCCUUCUCUGUGGCAAAAGAGUGGGAAGAUCUUCGAGUAGCGGUGACAGACCUACCGAACUUAGUUAUAGCUGGUUGCUUGGAAAAUGGAUAGGAGUUCAGCCUUCUGGAUUCUCCCCUCAAAUUGGAAUUACCCAAGCCCGUUAAUUAAGAAACCAGAAGAGUUAGUCAAAGGGGGUACAGCCCCUUUGAAAAAGGACACAACCUUCCCAGGAGGAUAAAGAUCAUAACAAAUAAGGUUUAUUGUUAAGGUGGGCCUAAGAGCAGCCAUCCCCCCAGAAAGCGUUAAAGCUUAGACAUUCAAAUCAACCUUCAAUUCUGACAACCUAAUCUUAACCCCUAGUUCUACCAAGCUAUCCCAUGCCCCCAUGGGAGCAAUCCUGCUAAUAUGAGUAAUAAGAGAGUCCAGACUCUCUCCCUAGCACAAGUGUACAUCGGAACGAACCCCCACCGAAACUUAACGGUCCCAAUUAAUAGAGGGCCUUGGACAACACAAAACAAAGCCAGAAAAACAUCCAAUAACAAACCGUUAACCCCACACUGGUGUGCCCAAGGGGAAAGGCUAAAAGAGAAAGAAGGAACUCGGCAAACACCUUAAGCCUCGCCUGUUUACCAAAAACAUCGCCUCUUGCAAA